rnacentral:tRNA from 1 species
CCGUCCCCUGCGGCAAGGGCGGCCGCUCGGCGCGCCGGGCGCCGAGCGGCCGUCAUGGGCCGUGCCGUUGUUCCGUCUCCGCGGUGUCGGCC